rnacentral:tRNA from 1 species
GUGUCGGUGGUAUAACGGUUAGCAUAGCUGCCUUCCAAGCAGUUGACCCGGGUUCGACUCCCGGCCGACGCA